AAUUCCCCAUCUCAGAAGAUGCCUCCCCUCAUCUCAUCCCCUGUCUCUCCCUUCUCAGCCUCCAACAUGGGAAAGAGAGCCUGACCUGUACCUUGGGUACCUGUAGGAUUGACUCAUUUCCCCUGUACUCACAACCAAUGCCACCAUCAGACUGUGAUCUACGGAUGAUCUCUUUGCCAAAGAAGAUUUUACAUCUUUACUAAAUCACCCCAUCAGCAGCAUUACUGGGUCUCGGGUAAACCCAGGUCAGCCAUCAGUAAGUGAGAAUAAAUACAGGCAGAGAGAGGAAACCAGGCAAAUUUCUGGUGAGACACCAGAGGAUCACCUAUGGCUGUCUAAAGCAUUCCUGCGUCUCUACAUCAAUGCUUUUCCCAGAGCACAGAUAAAAUGAAAUCAAAGAAAUAUUCCAGUUGUGGACAUGAGUAUCCUAAGAGAUGUAAAGAUCCUAUCUGUUUGCCGCCCUGAGGAGCACGAAGAUGACGUUGGUGCCAAUCUUUCAUUAGCGUGAACAAGCCCCAAAUACUCCGGGACCCUUCCCUCCCCAUCACCCUUCAAAGUCCCUGGAGCCCUGGACUCCCCUGCUCACUCACACAUCACUCUGAUACCAACUCACCACCUGGUCCAGAAAGAAAAGGAAACAUCCCACCCCUCACCUUGUCUCUGACCGCCAGUGAGGCAAAUGUUCUUCUCACUCAGGACCCCCCUGCUAUCCAAGCAGAGAUUAGAAAGGAGACAUGAAAGUUUCUUUCCUUGUCCUUCCCUUCUGCUCAUUCACUAUGACAACAGCAAAUGACAUCUCAAAAUUGCCAUCUGCCUCCUGCCUGUGCCGUGCUCUCUUGCACGGAUGGACCGAGAUCUGAUUACGGGGAUGGCAGAUAUUUCAUCCCAAGGGGCCGUUUAACAAAACUUGCUUGCUUUUCCCUCCAGGUGUCACCAGGUGGAAAGACCUCUUUAUAAACACAUCAGGUAUUAAACAUCCACAUUAAUGCUGCCUUUUUAAAAGAGAUGCCCUCAUUCUAACAGUACUGAUAACUGAAAACAUUUCUGGAAGUUCUCUUUGGAACUGGCUCCAGGGUUCUUUAUUCACCAUUCACUGAAUGAUGAAUCCUCCCAUGCCAGACACUGGACUGUGACAAUGAUCAGAACAUAUCAGAACGUUCCCUUGGGAAUGUGUGGUCUAACGGAGGGAGCAGACAUAGAAGCAGGGUGCCCACAGCGUCAUGAUGAGAUCCGAGGUUUGACUGCGGGCAGAGCAGGCCUUUGCCUUGUCCAGUUAUAGGACACUUAGGCCUCUCUGGCUUAAAAAAAAACAAAAAAAAAAAAAAAGGAGGGCCCCACACCAUCCAGUUGAACUAUUCACUAGAUUCGGGGAACCAAAGCUUCAGUAGAAACAGUAAAAGCUCAGAGAAUGAAUUGAGGUAACCCAAGCAGAUGGUCAAGCUCAGUGUCACUUCUAGUCAAAAUCAGUAUCUGAUUCCAAAAGAGAGCUGAUGGAAACGUGGGACUGAUGUUUCAGGAGCCCCAGAUGCCCUGGCAUGAGAAGCUGUCAUCCUCCCUUCCAGGUCCCACUUCUGAGAGCUAUUCAGAGGGGAGUCUGUGCCUCGGGGUCCCAGCCACAGCAGCAGAACCUCCAGGGACACAGUAAUUGGCAAACAAUGGGAUCCACCAACUGUACCUUCUCUGAUGGGGAAGUCUGUUAAAUUGGACACCAAAGCUGCAUCUGUAACACACAGCGGCUCCCUUCCCAAGUACCUGUUCAAGUUCACAGUUUGCUAGUGUUUUCAGUGGAAUUCCUAAUUCCUCUGAGCUGAGAAUACAGUGCUGGCUGGCACACAGCCCAGAAUCUGGAGCCCCAGAGAACAUGAAGGAUAAAGAAGAAGGGGUGUGCUCAGAAAAGCAGGCACAGCCUUGAGAAGCUGGUGGCCAUGUGGUGACACGGGGGAGGAAGAAGAAGGUGUCAGCAGGCAGACGGAGCAGUUAUUAGAGGAGGUAAAAAUGGAGUGAAGAUCUUUUAAAUAACAGUUCUUUGGGGAAUGUAACAAGUAUUCUCCUCUAAAUUAACUUUCUCCAUCCUCAGUCCAGUAAUCCAGACAACUAGUAGUUCUCAAAGCCACACUAACUCUUUUAUCAGGGUUUUCCUAUAUAAAUCCUCAGAGAGUUCUUUGAUAUGCAUUAUGGCACAUUUUAAUCUAAGUUGUGCAUUUUAAUUGAUCCAUUGAAAGAUAAUGUUAGAACUAUAAUGUACUUUUAGAAUUUCUUAACCCCCAGUAUGAUCAUUAACUAUUAAAAUAUGUGUAGAGCCUGAAUCGCAGAUCAGAACAGCACAAGAAUUAACUUAGCCAAGCACUUCACUGAGAUUUUCUAGCUAUGCAGUAAAGUCAAUGAAAAGUUUUCUUUUUUCCAAAAUGGAAACAGCUUUGUUACUUUGUCUAAUAUGUUCAAAAUUCUUUCCAUAAAGAAUAUCAAAUAUGAAAAUCAUCUAGGAUCCCCUCCAGUGGAAGUUACUGCUGUUAAUAUUUUGUUGUACACCCUUCUAAGCUUUUGUAAGCAUAUAUGUACAUAUGAACUCUUUCAAAACCAAGAUCAUGUUACACAUAUAGUUGAUAACUCAGUAAUAUACUAUUAAGACUAAACUAUGUUAACAAAUAUUAUUUUUUAAUGUAAUUUUUACUGGCUACAUAAUAUUCCAUUUCAUGUAUAUGCCAUGAUUUAUUUAACCAAUCUCCUAUUGAUAGACAUCUGCAGCCGUUUCCAAUAUUUCACUUAUAAACAACUAUAACUACAGAAAAUUAUAAAUAAGAUUGCUUUACACUUCUCCCUACAAAUAAGCUUGAAAAUCUGGAUAAAAUAGAUGAUUUUCUAGGAAUACAUAAAUUACCAAAAUAGACACCAAAAUGGGUAAGAAACUUAGACCAAUAAGUAUAGGAUUUUUUAAUAGCCCCAGGGCUACCUCUCCAAAAAAGCCAUAACCAGAUAAUUUUCGAGUGAAAUUUUCCAAAUCUUUAAAAAUUCUAUUUGUAGUAGUCCAAAGAAUAAAGAAAGAAAUUCUCUCAAAUUCUCUUUUUAAAAUUAAGAAUAACACUGACACCAAACCCAACAAAGAUGGUACAGAAAAAGAAAAUAAGCCAACCUCACUUCUGAGUAUCAACAGAAAAAUUCUAAAUGAAAUUUAGCAGGAGCGCCUGGAUGGCUCAGUCGGUUGAGUGUCAGACUCUUGAUUUCAACUCAGGU